GGCAUUAUGGCUGAGCGGUAAAGUGCCGGGAUUCUGAACCGGGGGUCAUGAGUUCGAAUCCUGGUUAAGACUG
rnacentral:tRNA from 1 species